AACUCUCAACUUUUUUUUUAUUUUAUAAGUUCAGAAUUUCUUCUCUGAUCGUCUCUUUGUCAUCUGUGACUUCAUCUCCAAUCUUCAACUUUUCUACAAUUUGACCGUAGGUGAGAAUUGGCCAUUCUUUGGAAAUACUAGGUGUUUCUAUCUCCUUCUUUGAGCCAUAGUCACCUAGAUUUUUGUCUCCAUGAUAUCUCUUCCUCUUUUGCUAUUUGUUGUAUCUCCAUUUAAAUUCUCAACUUUUCUCCUUUUCAGGCUGAGAUAGAAGUCUACCUUCAGUUAAUUGCUCCAACAUGGACAACUCUUCGAGGGCCUUAUUUUUCUUUACUUCCAACUUGCAAAACUCCACUCUAUUCCGGUCAACUAUAUCUCUCUUUAGGCAUCUUAGUUUUUGCAUUAGAGUAAAGUCAGGUAUGCCUCUGAUCUUAUAGCUUUGCCACCAGUGUUUAACUUAGUCAAUGAAUGCUUCCACUUGUAGCCACAUAUCUCAAACUUGAAGUAGGAGGGAAUGGCUUCCCAGUCACCGCAUUCUAAAAGUAAUGGAUUGUGAUCAGAAAUCACUCUUGGAAGAGCAAGCUUCUUCAUAGCCCCAAAGCUUUCACUCCGUUCAUUAGAGACUAGGAAUCUAUCAAUCCUGGAAGCUUGUAAUGAGUUCUCACCCCUUGACCA
rnacentral:lncRNA from 1 species